AGUGACUUUGAUAUACAGUUAAAGCUCUGCUCUACCCAGAGUAUGUGUUGUGCCCAUAUGGCUCUCGACAUUAGUUGUAUCCUUUUUAUUGAAUACAUCCAUUGGUGAAAUGACUACAGGAGAUGCAGCGUUCUCAUCUCGCUGAAGAUCUUACAAAUGCUGUAUUUUACUGCCCACCACGCAUAUCUCUGCUAUGAAUGUGUAAGUGGGAGGAGUGGCUGAUACUUCUUGGAGCUCUGCUACUCUUCAGUCCCAUUUUACCAGGUUGGAGGGCUGCCAAGUGGACACCUCAGGAAGGUCAGCAGAGGUACCCUUCUGGAGGAGAUUUGCCACGGACAUCUAGGAAGUGGACCACACUUGAGCAGGGAAUUGAGCUUCUGAGGGAGUUUGCUGUAAAGGAAAUACUUUCUGGAGAUGAUGGUAUGCAGAAUCCUGAUGAAAUUCCUGUUGGAACAUGUCUUUGAAAGAAACUUACCGAUGUUAGAUGGAGGAGCAAGUUUAAUAGUUUGGUAAAGAGGUUUGUGUGAGAGAACAACCAUUGAAGACUUCCUAUAGUUGUUGAAUUGCCUGACCAAAUGAGGCAGUUAGAGGACAUUUUGUCCUACACUUAUUUAGUGUCUGCUUUAAAAACUCUGGCUGCACAAAUGAAAGGUAGAAAAAGGAUGGAGGAGGCCCUUAAACCUUCCAUCUAAGUUGAUGAAGGAAAAAGACAAGAUUUCAUCUGGAGAUGAAUCCAGUACCAGUUGAACAGUUUACCUCAGGAGUGGAAACACAGUUGGACAAUGUUUUCCUUCGGUCAUCCACAAUGCAUUGGAGAAAUGUAAAGUCCCAGAACAUCUGCAAUUCAUCAAGGAGAAUAUUGUGUGGGGCCAAACUGCUGAGGAAGCCUUUGAGAAAGCUCCUAGAUUACCAGUUCUGAACUGGAUGUUCCAAGGCAAAGGUUGCUCACCACAUCGUGCCACAGAUGCACCCUGGUUUAAGUGGAUAGCUUUGAUAAGCCCAGGAGCACAAAUGGGCACUCUUGCAUGACCUGGUCUGGUGGAAGUGUUCACCAAUUGGGCAGAAGGCACAAACUGUCUAAAAUCUCCAGUAGAAAGAGUAACCUGUGAUGAGGAAUUUUCUCCUUAUGGUAAUCGCUGAUCAGGAAAAGAACCAUGCUUUGUUGACAGAUGGUUCCUGUUGUCUUGUUGGGAAGAAGCGAAGAUGGAAGUCGGCAGUCUGGAGUCCUGGCAGGAGAGUUGCUGAAGUGAGAGAUGAAGAAGGUGAAUCCAGUCAAUUUGCUGAAGCAAAAGCUGUCCAACUUGCUCUUGAUGUGGCUGAAAGUGAAAAUUUGGCUAUCACUUACCUAUACACUGACUCAUGGAUGGUAGCCAAUACUCUAUGGGGUUGCCUAAAAGACUGGGAAAAGGAUUGUUGGCAGAUGACUAAAACUCUAUUUGGUGUGCUGGUCUAUAGGAGGAAAUUAAUGAUUGCCUUGAGAAAAUGCCAGUGCAAGUGUGGCGUGGAGACACACACAGGCCUAAGAACAAAGCUACUCAGGAACAUGAACACAACCAUGGGGCAGAUCAAGCUGCUAGAGUUUCUCAAGUUGAUACAAAGUAUGAUCUUGACCUUGAUAGGAAAUAGGGAGGUGAGCUGUUCUGGGCUUGGUGGGCCCAUCAUUCAUUUGGACACCAAGGCAGAGAUGCAACUUACUGGUGAGCAUGUGACAAGUCAAUGGACUUAUCCAUGGAUCACAGGAUAUUAGGGGUUGGAAGGGACCUAAGGAGAUGAUUGAGUCCAAUGCCCAAGGUAACACCAUUCUUGGGCACAAGAGAC